UUACCUCAUUCCGGGACAUUUUGCUUCAUUUAAAGACCCCUCCCCUCACACUGGACCACUUUUACCUCAUUUCGGGACCCUUUUCCCUCACAUAAACCCCCCUCACCUCACACUAGGGCACUUUUCCCUCAUUUCGGGUCCCUUUUACCUCACAUAAACACCCCUCACCUCAGACCGGGACCCCUUUACCUCAUUUCGGGACCCUUUUACCUCACAUAAACACCCCUCACCUCACACCGGGACCCCUUUACCUCAUUUUGGGACCCUUUUACCUCAUAAAGGACCCCUCACCUCAUUUUGGGACUUUUUGCUUCAUUUAAAGACCCCUCACCUCAAACUGGGGCACUUUUACCUCAUUUCGGGACGUUUUAUUUCAUUUAAAGACCCCUCACCUCAAACUGGGACCCCUUUACCUCAUUUCGGGACAUUUUAUUUCAUUUCAAGACCCCUCACCCCAAACCGGGCCACUUUUACCUCAUUUUGGGACCCCUCACCUCACACCGGGGCACUUUUACCUCACGUAAGGACCCCUCACCUCAAACCGGGGCCCAUUUACCUCAUUUCGGGACAUUUUAUUUCAUUUAAAGACCCCUCUCCUCACACCGAGGCACUUUUACCUCACGAAAGGACCCCUCACCUCAUUUCGGGACAUUUUGCUUCAUUUAAAGACCCCUCACCCCAAACCGGGCCACUUUUCCCUCAUUCCGGGGCCCUUUUCCCUCAUUUCGGGACCUUUUUACCUCAUUUCGGGACCCCACACCUCACACCGGGCCACUUUUACCUCAUUUUGGGACCCUUCCACCUCCUUUAACCCCCCUUUACCUCACGCCGGGCCCCUUUUACCUCAUUUUGGGCCCCUUUAUCUCAUUUUGCGACCCUUUCACCUCAUUUUGGGCCCCUUCCACCCCCCCACACCCCGCGUUUCCCCCUUU
rnacentral:lncRNA from 1 species